rnacentral:rRNA from 1 species
AAGACCUUGCGCUUUUGGAGCGGCCGAUGCCUGAUUAGCUAGUUGGUGGGGUAAUGGCCCACCAAAGCUUCGAUCAGUAGCUGGUCUGAGAGGACGGCCAGCCACACUGGGACUGAGACACGGCCCAGACUCCUACGGGAGGCAGCAGUGGGGAAUUUUGGACAAUGGGCGCAAGCCUGAUCCAGCCAUGCCGCGUGAGUGAAGAAGGCCUUCGGGUUGUAAAGCUCUUUCAGCCGGGAAGAAAAGGUUGCGAUUAAUAAUCGCAAUUUAUGACGGUACCGGAAGAAGAAGCACCGGCUAACUACGUGCCAGCAGCCGCGGUAAUACGUAGGGUGCGAGCGUUAAUCGGAAUUACUGGGCGUAAAGGGUGCGCAGGCGGUUUUGUAAGUCAGAUGUGAAAUCCCCGGGCUUAACCUGGGAACU